CGCCACAACCUGCGAGAAAAGGAGAGCCCCUUCCCCGCCCCGAGGACUACAACUGGAUCCAGCCACGAUGGAGAGAACUACUCGAUAUCCAGAGAUUGAAUUUCAAUGAUCUAUGGUAAGUGGAUAAAACUUUGGAGUGCCCCCUUGGGGAAAGAGUGAGUCUACAUGGAUAUGUAUCAACAGAAAGGUGGUUUGUAGAGAAUGUACUAGCUGCUCAAAAAUGCACUUGUUCUCCACCUCUUGAUCCUGGAAGCAAAGGUUUCUUACCUCUUGUUCUUUUGUGUGGGAAUUUCCUGAGUUCUAGCCAAUGAAGUGUGAACACAGUUGACAUUUCCAGUCUUGACCCAUUAAAAAUUCCCGUGUAUGCUCCUUUAAGCUCUAUUUGUUUUCUAUUUGGAAUUUGGAAUGGAGCACUGCCAAAGAGGCCUUGGAUUGGCAUAAGGUGAAGAUGGCAGAAAGCCCGUUGGCCAUUUGGAGGAGGAUUGCUAUACUGACCUGUUUACUCUUUUGAGCAAAAAAUAAGCUCUAAUACAUUUGUAGUAUAUCCUAGGACAGAUAUAAUGAAGCACCAUAGAUAGGUUGGCUUAUAAACAGACAUGUUUCCCACAGUUCUAGAGACUGGGAGUCUGAGAUUGUAAUGCCAGCAUGACUGAGGCCAGGGGAAGGCCCUCUUCCAGGUCGUAGAUAACUGACUUCUCUUUGUAUCCUCCUGUGGCAGAAAGUGAGCAAGCUAGCUCUCUGGUCCUUUUCUAUGAGGGAAAUAAUCACACUCAUGAAGGCUCUAUUUCAUUACCUAAUUUUGUCUCAGAGGUCCCACCAUCACAUACUAUCCCGUUAAGGGUUAGGAUUUCAGUGGAUGCAUUUUAGGGGGACAUAGACAUGCAGUCUGUAACAUGCUAUUUAUUUUGGUCUCCAUUUGUUGCAGCAAUUAGUCGAUCUUGCCUAAUGUUAACAAGAUUACUAAAGGAGCGGUAAAGACGUGUAUUAAUAAAUUCAUCCUGAAUGAAAGCUGUUCAAUUUCUAGCACUGUUUUGUCAUUUGUAAUCAAUUUUAUAACCAUUCCUGUUUAACUAUGUAGCCUUAGUUUAAUGUUUAACUCACCCAAAUUAUUAUUUUUUAUGGUGGCAAUAGUAAAAGACUUUGAUGGUUAAAUUCAACACAGAAAAUGGUGAGGACAAAGAGCAUUACUGGCUUCUGUCAUGACUGAUUGAAGUCUGUUAUGUUUCAGGAAUCUUUUAUCUCUCUUGGAGUGGGUUUCCUUUAUGUUGGCUUCAUUGCUAGCCAGGUCUUUGUGGUAAAGAUGGCAAUUGGUUGACUCAACUUAGAAUGCCUUUAUUUAUUUUUUAAAAAUUUAUUUAUGUGAGAGAGAGGGAGCAGAGAGGGAAAGAGAGCGAGCACAUGAGUUUGGGGAGGGGAAGAAGGAGAGAGAGAAGCAGACACCUUGCUGAACAGGGGACCCUGGGAUGACGACCUGAGUUGAAGGCAGGUGCUUAACCAACUGAGCCACUGAGGCACCCCCUUAGAAUGCCUUUAAAUCUAUAUAUUGUUGAUGAAUAAUGUGCUGUUUCUCCAAUAUAUCUUUUUGGGAGGAAUGUAAUUGAUCUAUUUUGUAUUAUGUGGCCAUUUCUAAAGCAAUUAGUUUGCUAUAAAAUAAUUUUGAUACCACAUGCCUAACUUUGUGGUAUGGACACAUCAUAACUGCAUUGAAUGAAUCCCAUUUAUGAGAUAGAAGUUCAUCUAUCAGAUAGAGGGAAAAAGUAAUUAAAACACAUACACAGACCUAAAAUGCAAAUUUCCACUAUUGAGGACCUAUCUAAAUUUCAACUGUAGUUAUAGGGACUCAAAAGAAGUUAAUUUCACAGUUC
rnacentral:lncRNA from 1 species